rnacentral:lncRNA from 1 species
GAACCUCUCCUCAACGAUAAGAGAAAUCCACAACCCCCACACAAUACCCAAUCAAUCCCAUUGUUCUUCCCGUCCACAUCUGCCCCAAUCAAACUCUUCCAUUUCUCACUCCUCACAUCCACAAAACCAACCACCCAUUAACACUCUCUUCUCUCAGUCAACUUCUCUGUUUACCAUUGAAACUUGAACACCACGUCCAACAACAACAAUGGCUUCUGCCACCACACCCACCACCUUCUCUCUCCUCCAAACCACCACCGCCUCCACCUCCCGCACCCGCUCUUCUCUCAC